AACACGAACAAUAGAACAACUCAUAUGAACCCCAGAUGUGGUGGGGUGUUUCUACCGGAAGCCGUAAAUUUCCGACUAUGAGUGAAUUUAGUGCAAGC
rfam:Clostridium celatum DSM 1785 genomic scaffold Scfld380, whole genome shotgun sequence.